GACGAACGCUGGCGGCGUGCUUAACACAUGCAAGUCGAGCGGAAAGGCCACUUCGGUGGUACUCGAGCGGCGAACGGGUGAGUAACACGUGAGUAAUCUGCCCCUGGCUUUGGGAUAGCCACCGGAAACGGUGGUUAAUACCGGAUAUGACCACGUCUCGCAUGGGGUGUGGUGGAAAGUUUUUCGGCCAGGGAUGUGCUCGCGGCCUAUCAGCUUGAUGGUGAGGUAAUGGCUCACCAUGGCUUCGACGGGUAGCCGGCCUGAGAGGGUGACCGGUCACACUGGGACUGAGACACGGCCCAGACUCCUACGGGAGGCAGCAGUGGGGAAUAUUGGACAAUGGGCGGAAGCCUGAUCCAGCAACGCCGCGUGAGGGAUGACGGCCUUCGGGUUGUAAACCUCUUUCAGUACCGACGAAGCGCAAGUGACGGUAGGUACAGAAGAAGCACCGGCCAACUACGUGCCAGCCGCCGCAGUAAGAC
rnacentral:rRNA from 1 species